GUGGGUAUGGCUCAGGGGUAGAGUGUGUGCUUAGCAUGUACAAGUUCCUGGGUUCAAUCCUGGGUACCUCCA
rnacentral:tRNA from 1 species